rnacentral:rRNA from 1 species
UACGGAGGGUGCAAGCGUUGUCCGGAAUCACUGGGCGUAAAGGGCGCGUAGGCGGCCCGGUAAGUAGGGGGUGAAAUCCUGCGGCUUAACCGCAGGGCUGCCUUCUAAACUGUCGGGCUCGAGCACGGUAGAGGCAGAUGGAAUUCCCGGUGUAGCGGUGGGAAUGCGUAGAGAUCGGGAAGAACAUCAGUGGCGAAGGCGGUCUGCUGGGCCGUUGCUGACGCUGAGGCGCGACGCGGUGGGGAGCAAACAGG